UAGGGAAUCUUCGGCAAUGGACGAAAGUCUGACCGAGCAACGCCGCGUGAGUGAAGAAGGUUUUCGGAUCGUAAAACUCUGUUGUUAGAGAAGAACAAGGACGUUAGUAACUGAACGUCCCCUGACGGUAUCUAACCAGAAAGCCACGGCUAACUACGUGCCAGCAGCCGCGGUAAUACGUAGGUGGCAAGCGUUGUCCGGAUUUAUUGGGCGUAAAGCGAGCGCAGGCGGUUUCUUAAGUCUGAUGUGAAAGCCCCCGGCUCAACCGGGGAGGGUCAUUGGAUACUGGGAGACUUGAGUGCAGAAGAGGGGGGUGGAAUUCCAUGUGUAGCGGUGAAAUGCGUAGAUAUAUGGAGGAACACCAGUGGCGAAGGCGGCUCUCUGGUCUGUAACUGACGCUGAGGCUCGAAAGCGUGGGGAGCAAACAGG
rnacentral:rRNA from 1 species